ACCAUAAGAUCGUGACCUGAGCCGAAAUCAAGUCAGACGCUUAAGUGACUGAGCCACCCAGGCGCCCUCCAAGUGUUAUUUUAUUUAUUUUAAAUGCAGUGGUGGUAGGCAAAAUGUUAUCUGAACCACAGGGCAUCUGUGAGGUUUUACAGCAAAGGGGACUGCAUGGUGAAUCUCAGAAAGUGGCCAUUCCCCCUCACACCCCACAGUUCACAGCCACUCUUGUUGGAAACGAAACUGCUGUCACAAGUGGAUUAAGGGUCCGAGGAGGUAACACUCUCCUCUCCUCUCCUCCCUCCCACAAUGUUUCGGUUUGGUGUCUAUUUUGUUGCCCUGCCCUGUACUGAGUACUGUAGUUGAAUGGAGGUAUGGUGUUUGCCUUCAAGUAGCCCAGUUAGAGUGGAGAAGGCCAGAAAAAUGAGCAGAGGAUUCUAACAGGGAUACAGUGCCCUGAGGAAUACAGAGGAGGGGCCCCCUGUACGCAUAGACUCCUCCCCCACGCCCGCAGUCCCCCCCCCCCCCCCCCCCCGCAGUCUGCCUCCCACAGCCCCACACUGUGCUGGAAUGGGCCGACAGCAGCUGGUGACCUGGGUGGAGGCAGUCCCUUCUGCACCCCUGUACAUGCUUAAUCUUCCUUUUGAAAUUUCUCUUUUUGCACAUAUGCAACAGUGCAGUGUCUUUCUCCUUUUCCACAUUUGCUCAGUAGCUUUUUUAGGACAAGAAGCUUUGUGUUAGCAACCCCCUCAAUAACUCCUUUUUUCUUGGCUCAGUUGCAUCCGUCCCUCCUGCCAGUUACACAAACCCACUGGACUGAUGGAGCAGAACAGAAAGUCCAGAAAUAGACCCACAUGCGUAGGGACAGUGCCCGCUUCUCCUUUCUGACUUUUGGCUGAUGACUUUUCUAUUUCACCGAGAAGACCGAAGCAGUCGGAACAACUCUUCACAAGUUCACACCAUCACAUUUACCCUCUUACUUGCACCUGUGCCCAGAUGCCCCGUGGGCCAUGCAGGCCAUGCACGUCCCCUCCCUCCGGCGUGCCUGCCCUGUACGCAGAGUGAAAUGCGCCCCCAGGCUCAUGUGCGAUCACUCCCUGAGCCCUGCCCGCCUAGCGCGGCCUCACUGGAUGGACAGGACUCUCACCCCGCUCAAGGCGCUGCUGCAGAUCUCCCUCUCCCUCAUGGUAACUGUUGUGGUUCCUUCCCAUCAUCCAGACGUUUCCGUUGUUUCUUGCAUAAGAAAAAUCUUCACCUCCUUCAUCUGCUCUAUUUUGCUUUCCUUUUCAGUAAAGGCCUUCAGUUAUCGCACUCCCGCUUUCCAAUUUUUCCUCUCCUUUUCCAACCCUACUACAAUCAGCUAUUUGCUCCACUCUUCCACCGGAAUUGCUCUUGUGAAAGGCCACCAAUGGCCACCCCUAGCUUCGGUGGUUAAUUCUCGGGUCUCACCGGAAAUAGCUGGUCCCUCUCUCCAGUGAAACCAUUUCCCUUGGCUCUCAGGACACAGCACUCCCCUCAUCUUCCUCCUACCUGUCUGUGGACUCUGCUUUAUAAACUCCUUCACUGACCCUGUCUUGCCUUUCAGCUCAGUCUGGGACCUCUGUUUUACCUGCACCUAUUGACUUGGUGAUCUCACUUACUCUCAUAGUUUUAAAGGCCGUCUAGAUGCUGAUCACUCACAUAUAUAUUUAUUUACUCAUUCCAUCUUCCUUCCUGGAACUCCAGACACAUCGUGCGGCUGCCUAUGUGGACUCUCCGGACAUCUCGAACUUCGUAGGUCCAAAACACAACUCGUGAUUCCCCUACCCCAGAUUUAUUUUCUCAGACUUCCCCUUUCAGUUGGUAAGCACCUGGACGGAUUCAGGUUGCUAAAUAAAAAAUGUUGGUAAUACCUUUGACACUUGUUUUUCCACGCUUCACAUACAAUUGGGCAGCAAGUCUUAACUUCAAAAUAAAUUGGAUUCUGGCUACGCCCCAGCACCCCCACCGCUACCAUCCUGGUGCAAAGCACCAUCAUCUUCCUCCUGCCUGGGUCACUGCAGUUUCUCUGGAGCUCCUGGCCUCUGCCCAUGCUCUCUUUUCUUUCUUCCAUUGACUUUCAACACUGGACCCGGAGUGAUCAUGUUGAGAUCUAAGUCAGAUCACAUCAGUCCUUUACCCAGGUAGCUAACCAUCACAGAGUCCCAAGUCCACAGUCGCUUUGAGGCCCCCUGUGCUCACUGUGCUCCAGGCAGCCUCCUUGCUUCCAGAACAGGUCAAACCUCAGGGCCUUCGCACUUGCUGCUUGCUGUGCCUUAUUGUUCUUCCUCUAGGCUCUCCCCAAGUUCUUCCUCUCUUCACUGAAGUGUCAUUCUUAGGCUUAUCUAAAAUUGCAGCUCCUGGGGCUUUCCCCGACCCCUCUACUGCUGUGUUCUGUCUCUCAUAUGUAUUAACAUACUAUAUGGUUUUCCUGUAUUGUUUACAUUAGCAUGUUUCCCCCCAUUUGAAUGUCAGCUUCGGAGAUUUUUUUUGGGUAACUAUUUGGAGAUUACUAUUGUAUUUCAGGACGGUUCUUGGGACAUAUUCCAUAUUCAAUAAAUACUCUUGAGUAAAUAAAUGGAUGAAACAGCAUAAAAACAACGUGUCUAUGAUUAAAAUAAAAACUGAAAACCUG